UAACCUGCCCAAGAGAUCGGGAUAACACCUGGAAACAGAUGCUAAUACCGGAUAACAACAGAUGAUGCCUAUCAACUGUUUAAAAGAUGGUUCUGCUAUCACUCUUGGAUGGACCUGCGGUGCAUUAGCUAGUUGGUAGGGUAACGGCCUACCAAGGCGAUGAUGNAUAGCCGAGUUGAGAGACUGAUCGGCCACAUUGGGACUGAGACACGGCCCAAACUCCUACGGGAGGCAGCAGGG
rnacentral:rRNA from 1 species